AUCUCAGAUCUCGGAAGACUGAAAGAAGGCAAAGAACCCUUCAGUUUCAGUUCUCAGUUACCGACAUUCAGAAACCGGGAUGGGAUCUGGUGCUGGAAGUUUCCUCAAAGUUCUCCUUAAAAACUUCGAUGUUCUUGCUGGGCCUGUGGUUAGUUUGGUUUAGCCACUGUAUGCCUCAAUUCGGGUUAUAGAGACCAAAUCACCAACUGAUGAUCGCCAAUGGCUUACGUAUUGGAUUCUCUACUUUAUGAUUACACUCUUUGAGCUCACUUUUGCCAAACUUAUUGAGUGGUUCUGUUGUGUGUCUUGGACUGUUUGGCUUUGGUCAAAGGAGUUUUGUGAU